AUGGCGGACAGGGUGAAGAAGCUGGCGUCGCAGCGUGCGGUGGUGAUCUUCGGGGUGAGCAACCGCUUCAUGUGCCACACGGUGAAGACGCUCUUCACGGAGCUGGGCGUGAGCUGGGCGGUGCACAAGCUGGCAAAGGACCCCUGGGGGAAGGACGUGGAGAGGGCGCUUGCUGGCAUGGUCAUGACACUGCACCUUGGCGGCCAACUCGUGCCGCUCCUCAGCCAGGCUGGUGCCCUCUUGCUCUGA
rnacentral:rRNA from 1 species